CGCCCGUAGCUCAGUUGGUAGAGCGCCUCCCUUACAAGGAGGGAGUCGACAGUUGGGCGCA
rnacentral:tRNA from 1 species